CGUGACAUCUCGCCCUCUCGCAACAACAACAACAUCGUCUUCAAUUUUCUCCCGGUGGCUUCCCUCUCUUAUAACAGGCUUUCUCACCUCUAUUAACGCAAGAAUUGCCCCGAAUUCGUCCAUUAUGUACAGGGCUCGUCACCCUGAUGCUCGUGGGGCACGAGGGGUAGGUGGUCACCCUAUGCAGUAUGUUAGACGUCCCGUCAGAGAACAAGUUCGAGAGUCCAUCCCAGCAGUUGUGAUUGGGGUCAUCCUCAUUUUGGUGGGCAGUGGUGUUCUCUUCUGGAAUGAGGGGCGUGCAGUACAAACAUCUCGUAGUUUGGAUGAGGGAUAUA